rnacentral:tRNA from 1 species
UAAAAUUUUAAGUUAUAAAAAUAAACUAUAAACCUUCAAAGUUUAUAAAAUAAUUUAAUAUUAUAAAUUUUAA